AAAGAAGGACGAGGCAAUCAUGUGGCUACCGAUGAACAAUCGCCACAACCUGAAGCUAGCCCUUUUAAUAAGGAGCAAAUGGAGAUGCUUCAGAAACUACUGUCUCCUCUUUUGUCAGUACAGUCACAAACUGGCUCAUCUUCCAACCAGGUCAUUGGUUCCGGAACCUUGGCUCACAAAGGAUUUGGAUUCGGGGAAGACGAUUGGCAAUGCUGAGGAAUGCUCUGGACUCUACAUCCUUAAGGAGCGCCACGAUCCACAAGAACAACCUCAAAUGACAGUUGGUAGUAAUUCUUUUUCGGUUUCAUGUCAAAAUAACGAUAGUGCAAUUAGGUUGUGGCACUAUCGCUUAGGUCAUCCAAAUGUUAUGUAUCUCAAGCAUUUAUUUCCUUCAUUAUUUAAUAAAAAUCCACAAUCCUUUGAGUGUGAAA